AGCGCGGAGCACGAGGAAUUCUGCGUGAAUCUGCCGGGACCAUCCGGUAAGGCUAAAUACUCCCGAGAGACCGAUAGUGAACCAGUACUGUGAAGGAAAGGUGAAAAGCACUUCGAACAGAAGAGUGAAAUAGUCCCUGAAACCAUGCGCCUACAAGCAGUCGGAGCCGCUUCGUGCGGUGACGGCGUGCCUUUUGCAUAAUGAGCCUACGAGUUACUCAUCACCAGCGAGGUUAAGUACUUCAGGUACGUAAGCCGAAGCGAAAGCGAGUCUGAAUAGGGCGUCAAGUUGGUGGUGGUAGACGCGAAACCUUAGUGAUCUACCCAUGGGCAGGGUGAAGGUUUGGUAACACAAACUGGAGGCCCGAACCGGUAAACGUUGAAAAGUUUUCGGAUGACCUGUGGGUAGGGGUGAAAGGCCAAUCAAACUGGGAAAUAGCUCGUACUCUCCGAAAUGCAUUUCGGUGCAGCCUGUGAUGUUCUGUUCCAGAGGUAGAGCUACUGGUUGGACGCGAGGGCUUCACCGCCUAUCAAAUCCGGAUAAACUCCGAAUGCUGGAACACGAAAUCAUGGAGUGAGCCCGCGGGUGCUAAGGUCCGCGGACGAGAGGGAAAGAACCCGGACCACCGGCUAAGGUCCCGGAUGGACAGUUAAGUUGAUCAAACGAGGUGGGAUCGCUGAGACAGCUAGGAUGUUGGCUUGGAAGCAGCCAUUCAUUUAAAGAGUGCGUAACAGCUCACUAGUCGAGCGAUCCCGCGUGGAUAAUACACGGGCAUCAAACUGUCAACCGAAGCCGUGGGGUCAGCGAAAAGCUGACCGGUAGGAGAGCAUUCCUGCCAGCGUUGAAGGUCACCCGCGAGAGUGACUGGAGCGGCAUGAAAAGCAAAUGUAGGCAUAAGUAACGAUAAUGCGGGUGAGAACCCCGCACGCCGAAAGAUCAAGGAUUCCCCGGCAAUGUCAAUCAUCCGGGGGUAAGUCGGAUCCUAAGGGUAAGCCGAGUGGCGAUCCCGAUGGCAAACAGGUUAAUAUUCCUGUACUGAUCAUAACUGCGAUGCAGCGACGCAGAGGUGACACUGCUGCGUACUGACGGAAUAGUACGUUGAAACCCGUAUUCUUUGAUACCGGUAGUGAAGCACGCCGGUAGAGAUGAAAGGUGAUAGUACCGCAAUGCUUCGGUUGCGCGGAUAACGCAGGUAAGCUGACUGCCAAGAAAACCUGCUAAGCUUCAGGUAAUGAUCAUCCGUACUGUAAACGGACACACGUGAUCAGGUAGAAAAUACUAAGGCGCUCGAGAGAUUCAUGGUUAAGGAACUAGGCAAAAUGGUCCUGUAACUUCGGGAUAAAGGACGCUCUUGUGAAAGAGCCGCAGAUAAUAGGCCCAGGCGACUGUUUACCAAAAACACAUGGCUAUGCUAAUUCGCAAGAAGAUGUAUAUGGCCUGACACCUGCCCGGUGCCGGAAGGUUAAGAGGAGAGCUCAGAGGUAACUCGAAGGUUUGAAUUGAAGCCCCGGUAAACGGCGGCCGUAACUAUAACGGUCCUAAGGUAGCGAAAUUCCUUGUCGGGUAAGUUCCGACCUG
rnacentral:rRNA from 1 species